rnacentral:rRNA from 1 species
GACGAACGCUGGCGGCGUGCUUAACACAUGCAAGUCGAACGGUAAGGCUCCAGCUUGCUGGGGUACACGAGUGGCGAACGGGUGAGUAACACGUGGGUGACCUGCCCUGCACUUCGGGAUAAGCCUGGGAAACUGGGUCUAAUACCGGAUAGGACCGCACCGUGAGGGUGUGGUGGAAAGUUUUUUCGGUGUGGGAUGGGCCCGCGGCCUAUCAGCUUGUUGGUGGGGUAAUGGCCUACCAAGGCGGCGACGGGUAGCCGGCCUGAGAGGGUGGACGGCCACAUUGGGACUGAGACACGGCCCAGACUCCUACGGGAGGCAGCAGUGGGGAAUAUUGCACAAUGGGCGGAAGCCUGAUGCAGCGACGCCGCGUGGGGGAUGACGGCCUUCGGGUUGUAAACUCCUUUCACCAUCGACGAAGGGUUUCUGACGGUAGAUGGAGAAGAAGCACCGGCUAACUACGUGCCAGCAGCCGCGGUAAUACGUAGGGUGCGAGCGUUGUCCGGAAUUACUGGGCGUAAAGAGCUCGUAGGUGGUUUGUCGCGUCGUCUGUGAAAUUCCGGGGCUUAACUCCGGGCGUGCAGGCGAUACGGGCAUAACUUGAGUACUGUAGGGGAGACUGGAAUUCCUGGUGUAGCGGUGAAAUGCGCAGAUAUCAGGAGGAACACCGGUGGCGAAGGCGGGUCUCUGGGCGGUAACUGACGCUGAGGAGCGAAAGCAUGGGGAGCGAACAGGAUUAGAUACCCUGGUAGUCCAUGCCGUAAACGGUGGGCGCUAGGUGUGGGUUUCCUUCCACGGGAUCCGUGCCGUAGCUAACGCAUUAAGCGCCCCGCCUGGGGAGUACGGCCGCAAGGCUAAAACUCAAAGGAAUUGACGGGGGCCCGCACAAGCGGCGGAGCAUGUGGAUUAAUUCGAUGCAACGCGAAGAACCUUACCUGGGCUUGACAUAUACAGGAUCGCGCCAGAGAUGGUGUUUCCCUUGUGGCUUGUAUACAGGUGGUGCAUGGUUGUCGUCAGCUCGUGUCGUGAGAUGUUGGGUUAAGUCCCGCAACGAGCGCAACCCUUGUCUUAUGUUGCCAGCACGUUGUGGUGGGGACUCGUAAGAAACUGCCGGGGUUAACUCGGAGGAAGGUGGGGAUGACGUCAAAUCAUCAUGCCCCUUAUGUCCAGGGCUUCACACAUGCUACAAUGGUCGGUACAGUGGGUUGCCAGUCCGUGAGGGCGAGCUAAUCCCGCAAAGCCGGUCUCAGUUCGGAUCGGGGUCUGCAACUCGACCCCGUGAAGUCGGAGUCGCUAGUAAUCGCAGAUCAGCAACGCUGCGGUGAAUACGUUCCCGGGCC